rnacentral:miRNA from 1 species
AGGGUGAGGUGUGACAUUUUUU